GACAAGCCUUAAAGUAGCUUAAUACCUUGCCUUUUAAUUGGAGAGCGCGCAUGAAGUGUAGACGAGGGAGCGACUGUCUCUAGUUUGAUAUCGUGAAAUUGAACUCCAAGUGAAAUUGCUUGGGUGGUUCUAAAAGACGAGAAGACCCCAUGCAGCUUUACAUACCUUAUAAAUAAUUAUAACAAUUGUUUAGUUGGGGCAACGGGGGAAUAAGAAAAACUUCCUUGGAGCAAUUUUUGACUGGUAGGUAAUGAUCCAGAGUGUGGCCGAUCGAAAGGUGAGCUACGCUGGGGAUAACAGCGUGCUUCUGAAAUUGAGGUCUCAUUGGUUUCAGAGUCGGCGACCUCGAUGUUGAAUCAGGGAAACGCUCAGGUGCAGCCGCUUGAGUCGGGGGUCUGUUCGACCUUUAAACCCCUAC
rnacentral:rRNA from 1 species